AGUGAACGCUGGCGGUAGGCCUAACACAUGCAAGUCGAACGGCAGCACAGUAAGAGCUUGCUCUUACGGGUGGCGAGUGGCGGACGGGUGAGGAAUACAUCGGAAUCUACUUUUUCGUGGGGGAUAACGUAGGGAAACUUACGCUAAUGCCGCAUACGACCUACGGGUGAAAGCAGGGGAUCUUCGGACCUUGCGCGAUUGAAUGAGCCGAUGUCGGAUUAGCUAGUUGGCGGGGUAAAGGCCCACCAAGGCGACGAUCCGUAGCUGGUCUGAGAGGAUGAUCAGCCACACUGGAACUGAGACACGGUCCAGACUCCUACGGGAGGCAGCAGUGGGGAAUAUUGGACAAUGGGCGCAAGCCUGAUCCAGCCAUACUGCGUGGGUGAAGAAGGCCUUCGGGUUGUAAAGCCCUUUUGUUGGGAAAGAAAAGCAGCAGGUUAAUACCCCGCUGUUCUGACGGUACCCAAAGAAUAAGCACCGGCUAACUUCGUG
rnacentral:rRNA from 1 species